GACGAACGCUGGCGGCGUGCUUAACACAUGCAAGUCGUGCGGUAAGGUCCUUUCGGGGGUACACGAGCGGCGAACGGGUGAGUAACAGUUGAGCAACCUGCCCUUCACUUUGGGAUAACUGCCGGAAACGGUGGCUAAUACCGGUUACGACUUCCUCACUCAUGCGGGGUGGUGGAAAGCCUUCGGGGGGUGGGGGAUGGGCUCUCGGUCUAUCAGCUUGUUGGUGGGGUGAUGGUCUACCAAGGCUUUGACGGGUAGCCGGCCUGGGAGGGUGGCCGGGCACCAUGGGCCUGAGAGACGGACCAGACUGCUACGGGCGGCAGCAGUGGGGAGUAUUGCGCAAUGGGCGAAAGCCUGUUCCAGCAGCGCCGCGUGAGGGAUGCCGGCCUUCGGGUUGUAAACCUCUUUCGCCUGCGAUGAAGCGAGAGUGACGGUAGCAGGUAAAGAAGCACCGGCUAACUACGUG
rnacentral:rRNA from 1 species